UACGUAGGGUGCGAGCGUUAAUCGGAAUUACUGGGCGUAAAGCGUGCGCAGGCGUUCGUGAUGUCUGGUGUGAAAGCCCCGGGCUUAACCUGGGAAUUGCAUUGGAAACUAGCGGGCUGGAGUGUGGCAGAGGGGGGUGGAAUUCCACGUGUAGCAGUGAAAUGCGUAGAGAUGUGGAGGAACACCGAUGGCGAAGGCAGCCCCCUGGGCUAACACUGACGCUCAUGCACGAAAGCGUGGGGAGCAAACAGG
rnacentral:rRNA from 1 species